CCGCCCGGCCCCCCGGCGCCGCCCGGCCCCCGCCGGUUACUAUGGCGCCCCUUCCGCGCAGGCCCGGCCCGGUUAGGCCCGGCGGCCGAGGGGUGCGGUCCUGCAGGAUGGCAGCCUGGGGUCGAGCACGGGGUGCGCCGGUGGGCGCAGGCAGGUCACCCGCGCCGCCUCUGUGAGAGCGCCCGGCACAGCUCCACAGCUCCUGGCCCCCUUGAGCCCUCCCCACGGCCGUUUUGCACACGUUGGGUCAGCCCUGUGGGACACGGGUCCACCAUCAGUUUGGGCCUAACAGGUUAGGGGAAGUAUUCGCUGGGAUUUUCAGGAUAGUGCAUUUUUGCAGGCUGGACUGAAACUGCUAAUUCUAUUGUAUGUUUUUAUUCCUCUAUGGACUGCAAGGUCCUUUCCAGGAGAAUUCAGUGGCACACCAAACGCUUCAGCUCAUCUAGGUGCAUUUUCUGGAAAAAAAGUUGCAACAGACUAAAGAACGUGAAUCAGUUUUUAGAAGCUCAAAAGGAAAGAACAGUUGUUCAGAAGAGCACUGAGCUUUUAAAACCAUUCAACAUUCAAGUGAAUGUCUCCAAAAUAGUCUUGAAAGAGGUUUCUCACCAUUGUAUGGGAAGAAUGUUAUUGCUUUUCUUACAUAAAUAGGAACAAGCACCUUAAGAAACAUGAUCUGUAUCUGUUGAUGCUAAAAAAGUUGUUAUUCCUUUAAAUGCUGUCUCCCAGAGUGAGACUACAUAGUAUGAAUAUUCUCUAUACAAUUGAGAACUCAUAUGGAAUUUGUGCCAAAGACCAUUAUGGAUACAAAAAGCUUACAGAGCAGACUGGACAAAAGUUUCAAAUGGAUCUAGGGACCAGCCUAGAGAAUGGGGGAAGUAUUGUUACAUUGCCCUCAGCCUAGAGCUGUUAGAGAAGUGCUCGCCAGGUAAGGACGUUGUUCUGAACCAGCCCAUCCAUUCACAUGUUCUCAGGGAGGCACUGCAGUGGUUGGGCUGCUAGAAUUAAAAGGAGCUAGAAAGUUUGGCCAAGGUGAUAGGUUAUCUUGUCUGCCUUAACGUCUCACCUAGCUGCUCAGUCUGGUAUAUUAUAAUGGGCCCAUCAGUAGUCAUAAAACAUGCUGUCAGCCAAAAAGAGGUAAAAGUGCCUUUAAAAGAGAAUCUAGACCAACAUCUUUCUUUUAAUCUUACACAUCUAUACCCGGUUUUAUUUGGGAUUUCCUGGCAAGAUAUCUGACCAUCUAUUAUAAAGAUAAGAUUUCUUGAUUUUCCUAGGAAGAAGCAGAUGUGAGACUGUGAUGAUAGCAUAUUAUUUAUUAUACAUAGACACCACAAGACUUUUCAUGAGGUUGGCUCAUCUUUAAAGAAAAGCUUUCACCUACAUUUUUAAGAGGCUAAAUUGGAAAAUACGUGCUUGCUUUUUUUUUUUUGUGGGCUGUACUUCAGGAGCCAAGAGAUCCAGAUAAGCUAAAAGGGGAGCCAUGAGAUUUUGCUGAGAAGGUCUCUCCUGCUGAAAUUUUUGCUUUGCGUUCUGAUGUACAGGACUAUUUACUUUUCAGAACAAAGCUCAGUGCUCACCAAUUUCCAGAGAGUAGUUAAUUAAAUAAUAAUAGGAUGAGAGUCUAUCCCUUUUGUUGAUGUCCCGUUUCAUGUCUUUAAACCGAGUAUGACACUUGGAUCUGGGAUGAUGCAGAAGAUAAUGAUAUUAAGAUUACAGUAUAUUUAAAACAAAGUAAUUAAUCUGUCCUUUUCAUCAGCAUGAACUCAAAUCCUUUAAGAAUUUGAUUCAUGUUAAGUGUUGUUGACAUUCUGGGUGUGCCCUCAUAAAUGAGCAUAAAUCAGUGUGUUUAAACAGAAACAUCUACAAUAUGGUAUCAAAGCUUUAUAGCGGUGGUAUAUGUUUCAGAGUAUUUAAACAGUUUGCAAUGCUACCUAAUAGUCUGUCAAAUCAAGUGUUGUCAGACAGGUAAUGAAAGAGGCAGCUAUUUUAUUAUUUUAGCCACUGCUCCUGUCUUGUUUAAUUCAUUUGUGAUGAAAAUGGCCAGCUCUGUAUUGUCACACUUGCAUGGAAAUAAAUUGUUCUCGUCUCUCUAAAGAUCACUUCUAAAUAGUUAAGGAAAGAAAGUCCCUGACUUCCCUUUGUUACAAAGCAAAGAGAAAGUCUGAGUAUUGUGAUGUCUUCUCAUUUCAAACAAAUGGUACAUAGCCAAUUUAACAGAUAGAGGUAUGGAUAUGUGGGCUGAACCUGAUCUGUGUUUUGCAUCUUACCAAAGGUUCGUAGUACACUCAUCUGCCAUUGCCUGCAGUAGGAAUUAAACACACAGCCUCUCACAGAAUCGAGAUCUUAAUUAAGUAUGCAAGAAAUAUAAAAAUGUAAAAUUCACCUUGCAUAUUUGCAGCUUCGAUCCAUUCCCAUAUGCUUCAAAGACACUACCAGAUGGUUCAAGUUACCAAAUUUAAUGUGGCCUUGCAGACAUACAAACAGUGGGCCAAACUUGAAAGAGAACAUUUCACUGGGCCUUAAAAUGAAAUUAAUUCUCAUGGUGAGAGAAACAGAUGAAAACAUGAAGUUCUCCGUCCCCUCUUCCUGUAUUUCCUAUCUUAUCAAGUGAUUUUAUACAAGGUACAUUGUCCACAUGGUAUGCAGAAAGGAUCAAAAAUACAUCACAGUAUGGUGUAUGCUAGUUCUCAAGUGUUAAGGUUGCCAAUUUUCUGCUCUUCCACUUAUCUUGUGAAAUCAAUUAUGAAACAUCUAGAAGGAUAAGAGAUCAGGAAUUUCUGGUUUCGUGCUAUUUUUAUCUGAAGUAUACUGGAGGACUGUAUUGGGGUUUCAGAAGCUGAAUUUUUUUGAAGGAAAAUAGUGUUUUCAACAACAUAUUUUGUAAAUUAAAGGAUAUCUAAAGGCAUUUUGUUUUAUUUCCUCCAAAAUCAAGGAUCCAUAGAAGCUAUGUAGAUGUUAUUUGUGAAAUACAUCAUAUAGAUUACAGAUGUCUAGAGAACAGAUAUAUAUAAAUGUUUGAUACCAUUAUAAGUAUGUGUCUGUAUUUGCAAAUAUUUAAAAUAUUUGCAUAUUAUCAGCUGAAUGGUCAGGAGAAAGAAAAGACAGAGGGCUGCUCACCAGCAGAGACAGGUGACAAUGUGAGGACUUGUCUGUAUCACCAGGUUUUCCACAGCACCGAAAAGAGAAUUCUCAUUGGCCAAGACAGAAUGCAAGUAGAUGAUUAAUCAGUUUUCAAUUCAGAUCAAUUAUUUUUCUUUUUGAUAAAUCUCCCAAAUAGAGCUGAGAUUCCACUGCUUGAGCUCUCCUGGAAUGAAGAGAUCUCCACAGACUUACUGAAAAACUUGCUUUCUCAUCCAAUUCAGAUGUCAUUUGCUUGAGAGUGGAUUUCUUCCCCCUUUGUAUUUACAAGAUUUCUGUGAAGCAACACUUAGGAUGUUUUGUAAAGCUCCAAGCAGGGAGGUCUUGCAACAGAAGAUUCCCGCCCCAUUAUGUAAAAAAGUAGGCAACACACCUUCUCUUAUGUGCUUUUAAAUAAUACUUCAGGCACAGAAUUAUAGGUGCUAAUAGAAACAUAAAGAUCCAGGCUCUGUUGUCUCUGAGAACAUACAAAUACAGCAAUGAGUUCACAAACUAAAACAUUAUUUUUAGGGCUAGAAGCUUAUCUUUUUUGGUUGGUUGGCUGGUUUUGGUCGUUUAAUUUUUGAACAAAAUGGCUUGUUUGAAUCUAACCUAGUGCCUUAGAGACUUUGGCUACCAUCAGAAAAGUACCACACAAGGGGGCACAGUUGGCAUUUGAAGUGCAGAAGGUCAGGACUGAGACAUAGUAAAACUAUGUUGGGAGGUUCCAUUAGGGCUUCCUGUUGUAGCAAAUAAAUCCAGUCCCCUUCACAUUUAAUAGGUUGAUGCAGAUACAUCAUCCACGUGUCAUCUGCCAUCAGUUUUUAAGGUGUGUGAUAAACUGUGAGACUACUGGGUACAGAACAAAAUUCCUUUCUUUGCUGAGAUUUCAGCAUUUUCCUGCUGGAUCUCCAGGAACUUCAGACCACCUUUCUUCUGCUACAUGGUUCUUUUCUCAAUGAAGCUGUCACCCUCAAAUCUAAUAAAAACCUAUCAUCCUUUUCUGGGCUUUUUAGUUUGACAGUUUCAUGUCAGAGCUUUGUUCCACAAUAAAAAUAAAAAAUCUCUAAGUGUUAAAGGAGUCCUUGGAAAACUGUAAGUGAUAGAGUCAGCAUUUACAGAACAUAUCACAACAGGUCUGACUGACCUUGGCAGCAACAGGAGAUCACCAUUUCUCAUGGAUGAGCUAUUCCUAAAUGUCUGUCUUUUACGCUGUAUAAGGCAGAAAUACCCUUCUGGAUCAAGGCUACUACUUUCUGUUUCUCUUUAUCAGAAAUUACAGGGACAUGUUCUGUUUAAGGAAAAUCUUCCUGAAAUCCUGUAUUUUGUUCUGUGACACCUUAAGAUAAUGAUAUGCUGCAGAUGUUAUUUUAAAGUCUCAUGCUAUUUUGCUGUUGACUUGUUUGAGGAUUUUGUAUGUUUUCUUUUUAUCACAGUCACGCUUCAAAGAUUAAUGUUUGUGGAUGUUCUCAAAAUCAUCUGCCUUUAUGCUGGUUAUCAGAGCAUAAUCAACACUGUUUUCUUAUUGGAAUGUCCCUUGUUCUGUUUUUAGAAGUUUCCAGGUGUACCAGUUGCAGAGGCUGAAUAGUCAGUCUUGAUUGUUCAUCUUUGAAAACAGCUGCUUUGGUAGCACUAUCUGACCAUGCAAAUGUUGGUCUCCCUCCUGUUUGUUAGCUCCCUUUAAGUACUGGAAGGCCACAAUGAGGUUUCCCUGCAGCCUUCUCUUCUCCAGACUGAACAAGCUCAGCUCCCUGUCUUCAUAGGACAGAUGCUCCAGCCCUUUGAUUAUCUUUACGGCCCUCCUCUGGAAUUGCUCCAACAACUCUCCAUCCUUCUUAUACUGGAGACCCCAGGCCUGAGUGCAGUACUCUGGAUGGAUCCUCAUGGGGGCAGAGCAGAGGGGGACAACCACUUCCCUGCUGGCCACCCAUCUUUUGAUACAGUCCAGGGUGCUGUUGGCCUUCUGGGCUGCAAGAGCACGCUUCUGGCUCAUGUCCAGCUUUUCAUCCGCCAAGACCCAAGUCUUUCUCUGCAGGGAAGCCCCACGCCACACUGGAAAUGGCUGUGUUUCUGACCGUUUGUUGAAUGCUUAUAGUUUUAUAAGAGACUCCCGGAGUCAGUUGCCUUACUGCAUAUUGCCCUGGAAAUAAUUAAGUAGAAACCAAGGAUAGCUGAAAAUAGAGAAGAACAAGGAGAAACUCAGUCUAGUUCGUAGCUGUAGAACACACAAAAAAAUACCCACCCUCCUAAGAUACCCUUCCCCUUUCCCAUAGUGGAAUUUUCCUGAUUUGGAAUUACCUUGAGACAACACAAAUUGCCCAAGAGGUCAGCAGGCCCAGUCUGUUUUAGUGGAGGGUAGGAGGUGGUUUCAAAGCUGAGAGCUCCUUGACAUGAUUGGUUUCCAAGUGUCUCACUUUCUUUUUAAUAAAGUGUCACGCUACACUGCUCACUGUCGUAUUCUGGAAAAACAGUCCGUGGAAGAAGGUCCAGUGUUUUGUGGCAUGAAAUCAUAGUUCAGUGUCAUCUCCAAGGUUCCUUUUUAGUUUGCUGGAGAAACAUGUAAUGAGUAUUUACAUAUGUGUAACUAGCACUGCAGCAGGGAGAGAGAGCUGAAGCAUGUGUUUACAUUUGGUGAGAGCCACGUAUGUCCUACAUCUGCUUGCCUGUCUCUCAUUAGCAUGGGAUAUGUCAAUUAUGUGUAAAAAAAAAGAAGCCAGUUGUCAAUGCCAACAAUUUUAUACUUUUGGUUUAUUUUUCUCAUUUUUCUGUUUCUGUAAGCUUAAAAAAAAAUGAGAUUAUAUUAAAAAAAUCAGUCCAGGGAAGAGGAAGAUGCAAACUGAGAACCUUAAAGUAAGAAGUGCCUUUAAGAAGAAAUGUACUAUAAGGAAGGGGUUUAAGGAAUCUGAGCACAGCUCAUUUGUGGCACGAGUACAAUGCCAAGUGACACUGAGGGAAGGGUGGGGAGAGACAAUAUUUCUGAAUUUCCAUGUCUGUGUGGAUUUAAGUCAGACCCUUAACCUUAUUUGAAUAUAGCAUUUUUGUCAUUUAAUAUAUUUCAUACAGAAUAUAUAAAGAAGAUUUAAUAACUGUCUCUUAGCUGUGGUUUAUCUCUACCUCAGAGAAAGCCAAAAUGAGUUUCUGUGAAAUGGCUGAAAGAGCAUACAUGGUAAGUCUUCUAUCACAUUAUUUCCAGUCUUGCUGAUUUGUAAAAGAUCUUUCAGAAAGAUUCUGUCUUUCAGUGUAAAAUGUUAAAGUUUGAUUCUAUGCCCAAAGUUUAUAAAAGGAACUGCAAAUAACCAGUGAAAGUCUAGCUUGCCAUCUUCUGCUUUUUAAAACUCCUGAGACUGCUUGCAAUCACAUGGAAUUUGCACUAGUGUUUAACUCAAGGUUUUCCCUUAAAAAAAAAUAAAAAAAUUCUAGCAUCUUUCUGGUUAUAACAGCAGUUAAAUAUCUUGAAAAUAACUAAUCAGAUCCCCAGGCUUCCAUGUGCCUUUAUGUUUUUCCCUUUAAGAUGUGCGUCACAGAUAAGGACUAACUGUGCACACAGUCUUAGGGCACUAAGGACACAAAAUGAACAACACUUAUGUAAUUAGUCAGCACACCCAAGUGUUCCUGGAUAAGAUCUUCUGAAGUAUCAUAGCAGAAAUAUAAAUUGAAUGCUUCUUUUUCUGUAUUAAAAACUUAAAUAUUCAUGUAGUGUUUCACAUUCUCUGGGUAGCUUUGCAUCAGACUGAGUUGUUCUUGGUGAGUGGGAUUGCACAGGGCUGGUUGGCUGUUUUUCUCCUGCCCUAGAAGCAGGCUGGCCCACUGGAACAAUUUAAAGCAACAAAAAUUCCUAUUUCAGGCUUUGUAAGACAUCCCUUUGCUUUGACUGUGCUGCAGAGGUUAUUCAAAUUUUAAUGCAAGUGGUUUCCUAAUACUUGAGUUGACUGGCCAUCAGAAGGUAUAGCUGCCUGUUUUAAUGCAAUUAAUAUCACUAUUAAUGUGAUCAAUACUGCUGACUGUAUCUCCCAGUGGCUCUUCCCAAAGUGCUGUCCAUACACAUCCAGAAAGGUCAGACAAAUUCUCCCUUAACCUCGUGGGAAGAAAUCUGUGGAGGUGCAUGCUUUAUCACAAACAAAUAAAGGGAUAUACUGUCAUAAAUACUGGCAUUGCUUGUAAAUUAGGAGUUACUGUGGACACAGCAUUCAGGUGUAGGUGUAUUAGUGCUAGUUCUGCUGUGGAAACAAACUAUGCCAUCUGGCAUUUCUGAUUCAGAAGAAUCUCUGUAUUUGUCUUUCUUGAACACUCAAAAUCAGGUGUCCACGUCUGUUUUUUUCUUUCAUACAAUUUGGUUCAUUUGGCACAUUUUGUGCCUAGCAUAAGAAAGGUGUGUCUUUGCAGUCAGCUUCAGCAAAUUGAAAUCUGUGCUGAAAGCUGCUGGAAAUGGUGGCGCUGCUCUGCUUCCCUCGCUCCUGCAGCUGCCUCCUCCUGUGGCCUCCCUAGGGAAGAUGAGGUUGCUCGUGGCUGCAUGGCUGUAAGGGAACAGGCUAAAAAUUAGUGCAUGGCUUAGAUCUCAGGUGGAUCAGGGCUGGUUUUUUUUUGAUCCAGAUAGCUGGUUGCAUGAGAACUGGUGAUGAAAUAAGAGGAGAGGGGAGAACCUAGGUUUGAAUUGAGGAAGGAAAGAAAGGUGAAGAGAGUGGGCUGAUGCAGUCCAUACUUAGGUUUGCUUAAUGAAACUGUGCAUAGGAGUCCUCUUGCUAAACCAAGAAGUGAACUGUGUUUUUCAUGUUACAGAAAACCAAACACCAGAAAAUUCCUUGUUUAAGAUUUACUUAUUUACUUUCUGAGUGAUAUAUUGAGGAUUUGAAGCAGGGCCAUCAUACAGGAAAAAUAAACAAGAGUGGGUAUUGAGUGGAAGUAAUGGUAAUAGCUAGACAGUCCACACAGAUGGAGGCAGUACUCACUCAGUGGUCACUGUCUUUCCAUGAAACAUUAUUUGAGGGGCAAAUGUUGAAAAUAUACUUACACUAAAAAUGAUCAAAAAUGUCUAGAAGUCUGACUGGGAUGAAAGCUUGUAGAAAUAAAUUUCUCAUUUUCCUUU